AGAAUGUAGAGGGGAAGAGACUUCGUGAGGGAUCCCAAUACCUGCAGUUUAAAAUAAGGAUCGGAGUUCCUUUUAAUGAAGAUCACGCAAGGUCAAAACACCAUGAAGUAAUGAGAAUGAAGGGUUUUCAAGUGCUUUUCCUAACAAUAAAGACCGCUGCUAAACCUG